UGCCUCGGGCCCACUUGCCUCGGGCCCACUUGCCUCGGGCCCACUUGCCUCGGGCCCACUUGCCUCGGGCCCAGCGGCUGCAGUGGCCUCGCCGGGUUGAAGGAAGAUGCCCCUGCUCCUGACGUCUCGUUCUCCUACCUCGGGUUGUGGCUUAGAUUCAGCGCGAUCCAAGGGUUUGAUCAUGUGAGAAACAACUACUGAGCAGAAAUAGGAAGGAUGAAAGUGGAAAACACAACUACAAGAUGAGAAAACGAGACCCAGGAGACUGGCAUUGGGUCCUCACGAAGUGAUGGACCUCAUCUACGUCCUCCCGAUGACAUACAUGCUUUAUCCCACAUCACAGAUGAGAAAUAUGAGGUUCGGAGAAGUUAAGUGCCUUCCCUGGAGUCUAACAACAGCAGUGGCUAACAGGUCGACCGCCUAGGGCCCAGCUUCCUUACCAAGACACCGUGCUGUCUCCGAAAUGUAAACAUUGCAGUUCCAAAACCACACUCAGGACCAGAGAAGAUGGAGUUUGUUUUGCAGGACAAAUUUCCCGAUCUGUGAACCACUGAAAUUAUGGGGAGCUGUUAGAAGUGCUCGAGCCACAGCUCCCAGACCAUCUUGCACCAGCUCUGAUGUAACUAACUCCUUGGGGCCUCCUGACCCACUUCCUGGUGCACUGUGGUUACCUGUCACACUACAAAGGCUUUUUAUUUUCUCCUAAGCACGGAGAUCUAAGGAUUGGCUAGUGGGAGCAACAAGGAGAAAGAAAGCCAGAGCCAGGUUUCUGAGCCCCAUCUGCACCCUGCUUUCUACCCAGAGGGGGACUAUCUGAGCUACACUUGCAAUUUUCA